rnacentral:rRNA from 1 species
GAUGAACGCUGGCGGCGUGCCUAAUACAUGCAAGUCGAGCGAACGGACGAGAAGCUUGCUUCUCUGAUGUUAGCGGCGGACGGGUGAGUAACACGUGGAUAACCUACCUAUAAGACUGGGAUAACUUCGGGAAACCGUAGCUAAUACCGGAUAAUAUUUUGAACCGCAUGGUCCAAAAGUGAAAGACGGUCUUGCUGUCACUUAUAGAUGGAUCCGCGCUGCAUUAGCUAGUUGGUAAGGUAACGGCUUACCAAGGCAACGAUGCAUAGCCGACCUGAGAGAGUGAUCGGCCACACUGGAACUGAGACACGGUCCAGACUCCUACGGGAGGCAGCAGUAGGGAAUCUUCCGCAAUGGGCGAAAGCCUGACGGAGCAACGCCGCGUGAGUGAUGAAGGUCUUCGGAUCGUAAAACUCUGUUAUUAGGGAAGAACAUAUGUGUAAGUAACUGUGCACAUCUUGACGGUACCUAAUCAGAAAGCCACGGCUAACUACGUG